rnacentral:rRNA from 1 species
AUUGAACGCUGGCGGCAGGCCUAACACAUGCAAGUCGAGCGGAUGACGGGAGCUCGCUCCUGGAUUCAGCGGCGGACGGGUGAGUAAUGCCUAGGAAUCUGCCUGGUAGUGGGGGACAACGUUUCGAAAGGAACGCUAAUACCGCAUACGUCCUACGGGAGAAAGCAGGGGACCUUCGGGCCUUGCGCUAUCAGAUGAGCCUAGGUCGGAUUAGCUAGUUGGUGAGGUAAUGGCUCACCAAGGCGACGAUCCGUAACUGGUCUGAGAGGAUGAUCAGUCACACUGGAACUGAGACACGGUCCAGACUCCUACGGGAGGCAGCAGUGGGGAAUAUUGGACAUGGGCGAAAGCCUGAUCCAGCCAUGCCGCGUGUGUGAAGAAGGUCUUCGGAUUGUAAAGCACUUUAAGUUGGAAGGAAGGGUUGUAGAUUAAUACUCUGCAAUUUUGACGUUACCGACAGAAUAAGCACCGGCUAACUCUGUGCCAGCCGCCGCAGUAACAC